rnacentral:rRNA from 1 species
GACGAACCGAGCGAACGUUGUUCGGAAUCACUGGGCUUAAGGGCGCGUAGGCGGGCUGUCAAGUCUGGGGUGAAAUCCCACGGCUCAACCGUGGAACUGCCUUAGAUACUGACGGCCUCGAGGGAGAUAGGGGCGAGCGGAACUGUGAGUGGGCGGCGAAAUGCGUUGAUAUUCACAGGAACUCCGGUGGCGAAGGCGGCUCGCUGGAUCUUUCUGACGCUGAGGCGCGAAAGCUA